rnacentral:lncRNA from 1 species
AUAGGAGUCCGGAUGAAGUCUUCCUACAACUGGAGUCGGGGAUGAAGUCCGGCUCCCGUAGGAGUCCGGACGAAGUCUUCUUGUAGCCGGAGUCAGGGACGAGGUCCGGCUCCCCUAGGAGUCUGGGCGAAGUCUACCUGCAAUUGAAGUCGGGGGUGAAGUCCGGCUCCCGUAGGAGUCCGGGCAAAGUCUACAUGCAAUUGA